UUAGCCACUGAACAACAACAUGAAGAUCCUACCAAUUUCCUUUUCUGAAAAUAGCUCAAGGAUUCAUACCUUUUUCGUCCCCAGACUCAAGAUAAUAAAUUCUCAUAAUGAAAGUAUAACCCUUUGCCUCCAUAGCCCGAUGUGCAUGCAUUCACCCAUGUAUCCAUCCAUCCAUCCAUCCACCUACCCACCUACCGACUCAUUCACCUGUGUUGGUUCACUGUUGGCCCAAGCCUAUCCGCUGCAUACUGUGCACACUUGCGACGUUUGUAGGUGCCAGUUAAGGAUUCUCACCACUUUGAAAAAUGGUGGGAAUGGAAAUACUAUACGGGCUGCAUUUGAGAACCAGACUGCAAAGACAGGCCAUGACAGCCGAUUCCUAGACUGA
rnacentral:lncRNA from 1 species